rnacentral:tRNA from 1 species
GGAUUGUGGCUCAGUGGUAGAGUGCUUGCCUAGCACAUGUGAGGGCCUGGAUUCGAUCCUCAGCACCA